GCGAAAACUUUACAAUGCUGGCAACAGCGAUAAGGGAACCUCGAGUGCCAGGUUACAAAUCUGGCUGUCGAGAUGCCUAAAAAGCAUUUCAUAGCAAGGGCCGGGCAAGACCGGUGCCAGCCGCCGCGGUAACACCGGCGGCUCGAGUGGUAACCGUUAUUAUUGGGUCUAAAGGGUCUGUAGCCGGCCGGAUAAGUCUCUUGAGAAAUCUGGCAGCUUAACUGUCAGGCUUUCAGGAGAUACUGUCUGGCUCGAGGCCGGGAGAGGUGAGAGGUACUUCAGGGGUAGGGGUGAAAUCUUGUAAUCCUUGAAGGACCACCAGUGGCGAAGGCGUCUCACCAGAACGGACCUGACGGCAAGGGACGAAAGCUAAGGUAGCAAACG
rnacentral:rRNA from 1 species